rnacentral:rRNA from 1 species
GAACUUGCCUUGCAGUCUGGGACAACGCUCUGGAAACGGACGCUAAUACCGGAUAUUAUGAUUGAAUCGCAUGAUUUAAUUAUGAAAGCUAUAUGCGCUGCGAGAGAGCUUUGCGUCCCAUUACUUAGUUGGUGAGGUAACGGCUCACCAAGACGAUGAUGGGUAGCCGGCCUGAGAGGGUGAACGGCCACAAGGGGACUGAGACACGGCCCUUACUCCUACGGGAGGCAGCAGUGGGGAAUAUUGGACAAUGGACCAAAAGUCUGAUCCAGCAAUUCUAGUGUGCACGAUGAAGUUUUUCGGAAUGUAAAGUGCUUUCAGUUGGGAAGAAGAAAGUGACGGUACCAACAGAAGAAGCGACGGCUAAAUACGUGCCAGCAGCCGCGGUAAUACAUAUGUCGCAAGCGUUAUCCGGAUUUAUUGGGCGUAAAGCGCGUCUAGGCGGUUUGGUAAGUCUGAUGUGAAAAUGCGGGGCUCAACUCCGUAUUGCGUUGGAAACUGCCAAACUAGAGUACUGGAGAGGUAGGCGGAACUACAAGUGUAGAGGUGAAAUUCGUAGAUAUUUAUAGGAAUGCCGAUGGGGAAGCCAGUCUUACUGGACAGAUACUGACGCUAAAGCGCGAAAGCGUGGGUCGCAAACAGGAUUAGAUACCCUGGUAGUCCACGCCGCAAACUAUGAUUACUAGGUGUUGGGGGUCAAACUUCAGCGCCCAAGCUAACCCGAUAAGUAAUCCCUCUUGGGGAGUACGUACGCAAGUAUGAAACUCCAAAGAAAUUGACGGGGACCCGCACAAGCGUUGGAGCAUGUGGUUUAAUUCGACGCAACGCGAGAAACCUUACCAGCGUUUGACAUCUUAAGAAGUUUCUGGAGAUAGAUUUGUGCCGGCUUGCCGGAAUUUAGUGACAGGUGGUGCAUGGUUGUUGUCAGCUCGUGUCGUGAGAUGUUGGGUUAAGUCCCGCAAAGAGCGCAACCCUUGUCGUUAGUUACUACCUUUAAGUUGAGGACUCUACGCGAGACUGCCUGGGUUAACCAGGAGGAAGGUGGGGAUGACGUCAAAUCAUCAUGCCCCUUAUGUGUAGGGCUACACACGUGCUACAAUGGCUGGUACAGAGAGAUGCAAUAUCGCGAGGUGGAGCAAAACUUUAAAACCAGUCUCAGUUCCGCGAUUGUAGGCUGAAACUCGCCUACAUGAAGCUGGAGUUACUAGUAAUCGCGAAUCAGAAUGUGGCGGUGAAUACGUUCCCGGCUCUUGCACUCACCGCCCGUCA